UACGUAUGGAGCAAGCGUUAUCCGGAUUUACUGGGUGUAAAGGGUGCGUAGGUGGUAUGGCAAGUCAGAAGUGAAAACCCGGGGCUCAACCCCGCGGAUUGCUUUUGAAACUGUCAAACUAGAGUAUAGGAGAGGCAAGCGGAAUUCCUAGUGUAGCGGUGAAAUGCGUAGAUAUUAGGAGGAACACCAGUGGCGAAGGCGGCUUGCUGGACUAAAACUGACACUGAGGCACGAAAGCGUGGGGA
rnacentral:rRNA from 1 species